rnacentral:rRNA from 1 species
AUUGAACGCUGGCGGCAUGCUUUACACAUGCAAGUCGAACGGCAGCACGGGCUUCGGCCUGGUGGCGAGUGGCGAACGGGUGAGUAAUAUAUCGGAGCGUACCCAGAAGUGGGGGAUAACGUAGCGAAAGUUACGCUAAUACCGCAUACGAUCUAUGGAUGAAAGCAGGGGACCGCAAGGCCUUGUGCUCCUUGAGCGGCCGAUAUCUGAUUAGCUAGUUGGUGAGGUAAAGGCUCACCAAGGCGACGAUCAGUAGCUGGUCUGAGAGGACGACCAGCCACACUGGAACUGAGACACGGUCCAGACUCCUACGGGAGGCAGCAGUGGGGAAUUUUGGACAAUGGGCGCAAGCCUGAUCCAGCAAUGCCGCGUGAGUGAAGAAGGCCUUCGGGUUGUAAAGCUCUUUUGUCAGGGAAGAAACGGUAGAGGCUAAUAUCCUUUGCUAAUGACGGUACCUGAAGAAUAAGCACCGGCUAACUACGUG